CUACUGUAAGGGAUUUCUUGUGCGCCAUUUUGCGGUGAUAUGUCGCUUGUGUGAAAUUUUUUAAAUUUCAGCUUUGGAGUUAAAACAUUAUUUGGCAAAAUGAGCUAUUCGAGAGGAGCUCCGAACAUUGAUGGAAUGACUUCCCUGAAAGUGGAUAAUCUAACCUACCGUACAACUCCGGAAGACUUAAAGAGAGUAUUCGAGAAAUAUGGAGACGUUGGUGAUGUGUAUAUUCCUCGGCAUCCGUACACAAGAGAAAGUAGAGGCUUUGCAUUUGUUCGUUUCUAUGAUAAUCGAGAUGCAGAAGAUGCAAUGGACUCAUUAGAUGGAUAUAUUUUGGAUGGUCGGGAAUUGAGAGUACAAAUGGCAAGAUAUGGUCGGCCAGGAGAUCAAAGGCGUGGAUCCCGAUCUAGUAGACGUCGUCGCUCGCGUUCACGAUCUAGGAGCCGUAGUCGUCGACGUUCACAUUCACGAUCCAGAAGGUCAAGGUCUAGAUCUCAUUCAAGAAGACGUCGUAGUCGUUCUCGCAGUCAUUCUGGCAGUCAUCAUCGUAGGGAUGAAAGGUCGAGAUCAGAAAGCAUUGGCAAGAAGAAAAAGGAAAGUAAAUCUAAAAGUCGCUCAAGAAGCAGAAGUAGGGAUAAAAAUGGAGAAAGAGCAAGCAAAAGUCCUAGCCCCAGUAAGUCCUGCAGUAGAAGCAGAAGUAGAAGUGUUAGUCCAGGGAAGGAUAACAAUGAUAAUGAGAUGCAGCGAAGUGUGAGCAGAAGUCGCUCCCCAAGUGCUGAAGCUGAAGGUUAACUUGCUGUGAAUGUUGUGAAGCUCUUUCUUUACUAAACUGGAAAAGCAGCAUGAAUGAAUCUUCAGGUCUUUUGAAAGGCGCAGUAGUAUGCUGUAAUUGGUGAGCUGUGGCAGUCACAUGGUGCUGUUCCUGUGGUGUGCUGUCCUGAUCCUGGCCGAGAUCCGGUUGCUGAUUAAUUUCCGGGUUCCAGCAUAGCAGUUGUUCCGGGGAAAUUGCUGCAAAAGUUUUAAUUUUCUCAUAUGAGACUUAAUUAAAAAUAAAGCAGUUGGAACCCCAAGUAUAAAUAUAAAGCAAUAGAUAGAAUAUUUUUGAAGCAUUUGCUUCUCCAUAAUUUGUAAAUUAUUU